rnacentral:rRNA from 1 species
UACGUAGGGUCCGAGCGUUGUCCGGAAUUACUGGGCGUAAAGCGCGCGCAGGCGGCCCGCGAGGUGUCACGUGAAAGCCCCGGGCUCAACCCGGGAGGGUCGUGGCAAACCGGCGGGCUUGAGGCCUGUAGAGGUGGGUGGAACUCCUGGUGGAGUGGUGAAAUGCGUAGAGAUCAGGAAGAACACCCGUGGCGAAGGCGGCCCACUGGGCCGGUACUGACGCUGAGGCGCGAAGGCGUGGGGAGCGAACGGG